rnacentral:rRNA from 1 species
CCUACGGGCGGCAGCAGUGAGGAAUAUUGGUCAAUGGACGAGAGUCUGAACCAGCCAAGUAGCGUGAAGGAUGACUGCCCUAUGGGUUGUAAACUUCUUUUAUAUGGGAAUAAAAUGUUCCACGUGUGGGUUUUUGUAUGUACCCUAUGAAUAAGGAUCGGCAAACUCCGUUCCAGCCGCCGCGGUAAUACGGAGGAUCCGAGCGUUAUCCGGAUUUAUUGGGUUUAAAGGGAGCGUAGGUGGAUUGUUAAGUCAGUUGUGAAAGUUUGCGGCUCAACCGUAAAGUUGCAGUUGAAACUGGCAGCCUUAGGUACAGUAGAGGAAGGCGGAAGUCGUGGGGUGGCGGGGAAAUGGU